GUCUACAGCCAUGCUACCCUGAACAUGCCCAAUUCCGACCGAUCUCAGAAGCUAAGCAGGAUCGAGCCUGGUUAGUACUUGGACGGGAAACCACAUAGGAAGAUCAGGUGCUGUAGGCA
rnacentral:rRNA from 1 species